GUAUUUCAACCCCAGUUCUCCACACCACUCUUGCUUGAUCGUCGUUGCUUCAUACCCGGUUCACUCACCCUCGUCCUCCGUUCAGUCGGCUGGGCUCGUCCUCCGGACCUCUCCUCUUUGGGCUUCCCCCAAGGCGUCCUCCCAGUUCUCCCUUGCAUCCUUCCUUCCUCGGCCCCAGUGUUCCCCGGCUCCUUGGUUCCCGUCCCGUCGGUUUCCCUGUGCCAGUGUUUCCCCGACAUCCUCCUCUCCCUCCACUCCAGUACCUCAACCCCCUUUUCCCCUAAAUAAACCUCCUUCGCUAAGA